CUUCGUCAGCUUAUUCGUUUGCAGACUAGAAAAAUGGCGAACAGCCAUCAAAAUACUAAUUAAAAAUACACAUUUUCCGCUGGACACACAAAUGGUUGCGCGCAGCAAAAUUCAGUCCUAAUGGCAAAUGUGUGGAAACGUUCACUGGGGAAGAGGUAUGGGACGACAGCUGGCAUGGCAUCCAGACGGUAAUCUGGUGGCUAGCAUUAAAUUGUAACCGCGUUAAGAUAUUUGACAUAGCCGAAGGCGAACUAAUACAGUGCAUUCGUCGCCGGAUAAUGAUGUUGCAUUUCACCCAAGUGGAAAUUUCUUGGUGACUGGCGGCGAUGACGAUACAAUAAUAUUGCUUGAUUUAUUAGAAGGUCGACCAAUUUAUACACGGUAGUAGGGCACUUUAGCGGAACCAGGUCAAAAUGGACGUGAAAAUUAUACAUUAACUGGCCAUACUAAGUUUGCGCUGUCGCUUUCUCUCCACAUGGUAGACAUUUUGCUUCCGCGGGCGAGGAUCGACAGUUGCUCGUUUGGAAAUCUAAUUUGCGUACGUUUGAUGCCAAUAGCGCUCGCAACAAACAAGCCAGUUCUCAAAGAGUCCAAAUUGAUUUUAGUCAUGCAACUGCUCCACAUAACUCCGCCAUAGACACACC